rfam:TPA: Bos taurus chromosome 15, whole genome shotgun sequence.
UCCCUGGUAGCUCAGAUGGUAAAGAAUCUGCCUUCAAUACAGGAGACCCAGGUUCAACCCCUGGGUCGGGAA